AAUAAGAUGCCUGAACAUAAAAGGGUUAUUUUGAUAGAAUAAAUCAUGUAUUUUUAAUACUCUUAUUG
rnacentral:tRNA from 1 species